GUUGACCUCGGAUCAGGUAGGGAUACCCGCUGAACUUAAGCAUAUCAAUAAGCGGAGGAAAAGAAACCAACAGGGAUUGCCCUAGUAACGGCGAGUGAAGCGGCAACAGCUCAAAUUUGAAAUCUGGCUCUUUCAGGGUCCGAGUUGUAAUUUGCAGAGGGCGCUUUGGCUUUGGCAGCGGUCCAAGUUCCUUGGAACAGGACGUCACAGAGGGUGAGAAUCCCGUACGUGGUCGCUAGCUAUUGCCGUGUAAAGCCCCUUCGACGAGUCGAGUUGUUUGGGAAUGCAGCUCUAAAUGGGAGGUAAAUUUCUUCUAAAGCUAAAUACUGGCCAGAGACCGAUAGCGCACAAGUAGAGUGAUCGAAAGAUGAAAAGCACUUUGGAAAGAGAGUCAAACAGCACGUGAAAUUGUUGAAAGGGAAGCGCUUGCAGCCAGACUUGCUUGCAGUUGCUCAUCCGGACUUUUGUCCGGUGCACUCUUCUGCAGGCAGGCCAGCAUCAGUUUGGGCGGUGGGAUAAAGGUCUCUGUCACGUACCUCUCUUCGGGGAGGCCUUAUAGGGGAGACGACAUACCACCAGCCUGGACUGAGGUCCGCGCAUUUGCUAGGAUGCUGGCGUAAUGGCUGUAAGCGGCCCGUCUUGAAACACGGACCAAGGAGUCUAACAUCUAUGCGAGUGUUUGGGUGUCAAGCCCGAACGCGUAAUGAAAGUGAACGGAGGUGGGAACCCGCAAGGGUGCACCAUCGACCGAUCCUGAUGUCUUCGGAAGGAUUUGAGUAAGAGCAUGGCUGUUGGGACCCGAAAGAUGGUGAACUAUGCUUGAAUAGGGUGAAGCCAGAGGAAACUCUGGUGGAGGCUCGCAGCGGUUCUGACGUGCAAAUCGAUCGUCAAAUUUGGGCAUAGGGGCGAAAGACUAAUCGAACUAUCUAGUAGCUGGUUCCUGCCG
rnacentral:rRNA from 1 species